rnacentral:rRNA from 1 species
GCUGGUUCUCCCCGAAAGCUAUUUAGGUAGCGCCUCGUGAAUUCAUCUCCGGGGGUAGAGCACUGUUUCGGCAAGGGGGUCAUCCCGACUUACCAACCCGAUGCAAACUGCGAAUACCGGAGAAUGUUAUCACGGGAGACACACGGCGGGUGCUAACGUCCGUCGUGAAGAGGGAAACAACCCAGACCGCCAGCUAAGGUCCCAAAGUCAUGGUUAAGUGGGAAACGAUGUGGGAAGGCCCAGACAGCCAGGAUGUUGGCUUAGAAGCAGCCAUCAUUUAAAGAAAGCGUAAUAGCUCACUGGUCGAGUCGGCCUGCGCGGAAGAUGUAACGGGGCUAAACCAUGCACCGAAGCUGCGGCAGCGACGCUUAUGCGUUGUUGGGUAGGGGAGCGUUCUGUAAGCCUGCGAAGGUGUGCUGUGAGGCAUGCUGGAGGUAUCAGAAGUGCGAAUGCUGACAUAAGUAACGAUAAAGCGGGUGAAAAGCCCGCUCGCCGGAAGACCAAGGGUUCCUGUCCAACGUUAAUCGGGGCAGGGUGAGUCGACCCCUAAGGCGAGGCCGAAAGGCGUAGUCGAUGGGAAACAGGUUAAUAUUCCUGUACUUGGUGUUACUGCGAAGGGGGGACGGAGAAGGCUAUGUUGGCCGGGCGACGGUUGUCCCGGUUUAAGCGUGUAGGCUGGUUUUCCAGGCAAAUCCGGAAAAUCAAGGCUGAGGCGUGAUGACGAGGCACUACGGUGCUGAAGCAACAAAUGCCCUGCUUCCAGGAAAAGCCUCUAAGCAUCAGGUAACAUCAAAUCGUACCCCAAACCGACACAGGUGGUCAGGUAGAGAAUACCAAGGCGCUUGAGAGAACUCGGGUGAAGGAACUAGGCAAAAUGGUGCCGUAACUUCGGGAGAAGGCACGCUGAUAUGUAGGUGAAGUCCCUUGCGGAUGGAGCUGAAAUCAGUCGAAGAUACCAGCUGGCUGCAACUGUUUAUUAAAAACACAGCACUGUGCAAACACGAAAGUGGACGUAUACGGUGUGACGCCUGCCCGGUGCCGGAAGGUUAAUUGAUGGGGUUAGCGGUAACGCGAAGCUCUUGAUCGAAGCCCCGGUAAACGGCGGCCGUAACUAUAACGGUCCUAAGGUAGCGAAAUUCCUUGUCGGGUAAGUUCCGACCUGCACGAAUGGCGUAAUGAUGGCCAGGCUGUCUCCACCCGAGACUCAGUGAAAUUGAACUCGCUGUGAAGAUGCAGUGUACCCGCGGCAAGACGGAAAGACCCCGUGAACCUUUACUAUAGCUUGACACUGAACAUUGAGCCUUGAUGUGUAGGAUAGGUGGGAGGCUUUGAAGUGUGGACGCCAGUCUGCAUGGAGCCGACCUUGAAAUACCACCCUUUAAUGUUUGAUGUUCUAACGUUGGCCCCUGAUCGGGGUUGCGGACAGUGUCUGGUGGGUAGUUUGACUGGGGCGGUCUCCUCCUAAAGAGUAACGGAGGAGCACGAAGGUUGGCUAAUCCUGGUCGGACAUCAGGAGGUUAGUGCAAUGGCAUAAGCCAGCUUGACUGCGAGCGUGACGGCGCGAGCAGGUGCGAAAGCAGGUCAUAGUGAUCCGGUGGUUCUGAAUGGAAGGGCCAUCGCUCAACGGAUAAAAGGUACUCCGGGGAUAACAGGCUGAUACCGCCCAAGAGUUCAUAUCGACGGCGGUGUUUGGCACCUCGAUGUCGGCUCAUCACAUCCUGGGGCUGAAGUAGGUCCCAAGGGUAUGGCUGUUCGCCAUUUAAAGUGGUACGCGAGCUGGGUUUAGAACGUCGUGAGACAGUUCGGUCCCUAUCUGCCGUGGGCGCUGGAGAACUGAGGGGGGCUGCUCCUAGUACGAGAGGACCGGAGUGGACGCAUCACUGGUGUUCGGGUUGUCAUGCCAAUGGCACUGCCCGGUAGCUAAAUGCGGAAGAGAUAAGUGCUGAAAGCAUCUAAGCACGAAACUUGCCCCGAGAUGAGUUCUCCCUGACUCCCUGAGAGUCCUGAAGGAACGUUGAAGACGACGACGUUGAUAGGCCGGGUGUGUAAGCGCAGCGAUGCGUUGAGCUAACCGGUACUAAUGAACCGUGAGGCUUAACCUU